UGUACAAAACUGUGAUGUUUUGCCCGGGAGCUAGGACAACCACAGACCUCCUGCCCCUUUCUGCUGUGGCAGAAACUUGAUUGGAUAAUACCUUUGUUUUCUCUGAUGGUAAAUACAACAAGGUGAGUGAGUGAAUAUUUAAUUUUUUUUUUUUACUCAUUUCAAAUAUUAUUAAGAUUUAGAAACUGCAAAUCUGUUAUGCAUGUUGUUUUGUUUUUAUGUUUGCAGCUAAAAGCAAUACUGAGCAGAACAUCCUUAUACUCUAGAGCUGUGUGUAAUUUCUUACUUACCCAAGGCUUAUGAUAACAGGAGUUGUAGAGGUGUAAUGACAGUAGGUCCUCCCUCACUAAAAUACGUGUGUGUGUAUAUACAUAUAUAUAUUUUUCAAAUUUUAUUUCAAUAUGCUUGGAUUAACUAGAUUAUUGAAUUUCAAUUUGUUGUGCUCAUUUAUAAAAUAACCUUCCUAUUGAAUUUGUUAGAGCUGAAUGAAAAUGGUGUAUUUAAGGCUGAUCAUAAUCUUUUCCAUCAUGUUUUCCUUAAUGUGGUAUUUCUAGAUUAAAAGAGAUGACAAGAUAAUGCGCAUUGAAAUAUAAAAGUCUGGUCUGUGGCUCUGCGACAGAGGCCAGCAUGUGGGCUGCUGAGCACCCUGGCAGAGCUCUCAGAGACAUCGUGCUAGAUCUGUGACAUCUGCAGCCAUGUAAGCCCCACUUUUCCCCCCACAUGAGCACUGCAUGCAGCCUGCCCUGAGCUGACUACUGUCCUAUGGCCAGGCGCAGCAUGGGUGGGGUCUCACCCCUCAUGCCCCUGGUUCCUGGGAGGGGGCAGCGCCGUCCUUGGCCCUCACUUUGGCUUGUCCUGAGAUGGUGAUUGUCUCCUGCACAACUCUUGGUGGCUGGUUUCUGAAGCCUUUAACCUCUUCUGCUGAGCUUAGACCUAGAUAUCAUCCUGAAUUUGUAUAAAUGAAUAGGAUAUGCAUGUUAUUUUUUCAAAUAUUGUCCAGCGAAAUAGCCUGGAAAGGUUUAAUGAAUUAGUUGCUUUUGAGAGUAGAGGCUAAACGUGACAUGGAGGACACACAUUUUAGAAUUCAGUUUAAAUAAGGCUUAGUGGUUGCCAUAGCUCCUGGUUACUUUUGCUCUGCUGUGGGUAGUUUAGUACUUGGAAGUAUUUGCUCACCCCUAAAGGUAAUGUGCUGAUUUGGAGCACUUGCCAUUCUUGGUGAUAGCGCUGUCUCUGAAAUGGCAAAUUCCAUCCUAUAAACACUAGAAGAACUCUUCGUGCGUCUAAGGGCUCCUCUUUGUGCCACUUUCAAGGCAUUCUUUAAAAGAUAACACUCAGUUGGCAUAGAGCUCUUUGAUUUUUAUUGCUGGCGGUAGGUUGCGUACUGUGCUGGAUAAUACGUAUCGAAACGAAAAUGAAUCCUGAAGCAGCUGGUUUUGUUGCUGAUAGUAAGCAACCUCCUCUUAUUUUUGUGAUGUAAAGAUUGGUUUACAAAUGUCAGUAUCUUCCUGAACUGAUAUACAUUGCUUUUACAAAGAUUUAAUCAAAAUUCUUAAGUAGCAACAAUAAAUUUUCUUAUUUUAUUUAACUAUGUUGUAUAAAAAGCUUAAUUCUGAGUUCAGAAUAUCAGUAAAAUAAAUUACAAGGGAUUUUUAAAGGGGUCUGUCAUCCUACAACUUCAAAGUCUGUGUCUUAAUUUCAGUUACGUGUGCAAACCUAUGCAUUUCCUUUCUUUACUUUUAGAUGGCAACUGUCCAAUCAGUUUUAUAAAUUGAACUUAGGUUUGAAGCAGUAAGUAAUGUUUUGGAAAUAAGAUCAGAUUUCAUGUCUUACAACGAACAUGAUAUAUAUUAGAAAACAUUUCAAAUGCAGUUUGUUUUUUAAUUCCCAACAGCUUCUGAUUCUGUGUUCCUAUGGAAUAAUAUCUUACUCUUUGAGCAGUUUCUUUCAACUUACCUGGACAACUUGAGACACAGGCUACAAUCAGGGCACAGGCACAAUCAGGGCAUCAGAAGCUCUUCCUCAGAAAGAAAUCACAUUAACUUAAGAUGACAGAAGUGGGGUGGUUAUUCAGUGUCUAUACUAGAAAUAGUGUACAUACUACAUUUGAGGGUUAAUUUUUUCUCAAGUCUGAAGCCUAGCUUAAGCAAGGGCAGCAAUCUUGUGCCAGCUGCCAGCAUUCUCCAGAGAAAUUGGAGCAAUAGGCCAUAGAAAUGGCCUGGUCAUAACAUAUUUUUCUUGCCAUUAGAGAAGAAGCGUAACAACUGCUCUGCUGGUUUCAAAAUACCAAAGAAUUUCCUGCAAAGUGGUAGAGGCCAGGCCAAGAUGUGGAGUAAGUUAAAAUUACAAAGAGCAGACUGACCUACCAUUGACUCAAUAGAUCCUGAUCAAUUUAAAAUGAUGUUUUACCAAUUGGUAUAGAGAUGAGCUGGCAAUACAAUAUUUGAGCAGAAAGAAGUAUUUGCUGAAAAUGAUUUAAAAACAAUGUGAACAACUUAUGACUAGGUUCAGGAGGACAAGUUUUCCUUUUGGUUAGAAAUUUUGCAUUACAGAUUACGUAUUUUGCUUGUCAGAUUUGUUGUUCCAUUGAAUGUCUGUGUUCUGCUGAAGUUUGAAUUUUUGCUACUUACAUGAAAUCUUUUUACAUAGCGACAACACACUAUAUCCAAACAAAGUAAAUUGGAUCUAUAGACUUGCUCCACCUUAAACCUUUCUGGACAAUUUUGUUUGAGUGUUAACUGAAGACUAACAGCAUCUAACAUUACUAAAUACAAAAAUAAUUUGCUUAUUAGAGGUGAUAUUUUUCAAAAACCUCAGAACAAUGUACACACUAAAAUAUAUUUAUGAUCAUGUAAAAAAUGAAGUGACCUGUUGGAGACAGACCUUAGUUCCUGGGGGGAAAGAAGUGCUUAGGAAGGUUCCAUGAAACACGUGAAAUUAUUGUGUAUAUGUAAGAAGUAAUAAUGUCAUCUGUUUUUUUCUGUUUCCUGUUGAUUGACUUUUAUAGCUUGCAAACAUUAUGCUGGAUUGUAAAUUGCAAUAAAUUUAAUCAAGAAUUAUUUUAUUCAGCCUACUAAUGAGGAAUAAUAGUGUAUGUAUCAAUUAGACAUGUCAAUUUGUGUGAAGAAAUAGAUUUACAAAGGGAUAGUAGGUAAAAAAAAUAUCAUUGGUAUCAAUUCACUUCAUUAUUUUUAAUUUGCUGUGAAUAUUGAGUGCUUCCAACAUAAAAUCAUUCCUCAAUUAAAAUAAAACAGCUGUACUUCUAUCAGCUUUUCCUUGCUUGUUGUUGCUUACAGAUUAGCAGUUGUCAUUGGCUUCAGUCUCAUGUCAUUUCAUUAAUUUGCAACCAUAAAUGGGUAAAAAUAAUAAUAAUAAUAAUGAUCUUUGGCAUGUCAAUGCAAAAUAAUGUUUCUCAAUUGUUUUUUCAGACUGCACUAUAAGGAGAUAAAUACUGUGGGAGCAACAUUUUGGGGAUAUUGCAACUAUGACAAAACCCUGGCCUCUUCUGUUAUCCAGCAUCAACAAUGCAAUAGUAGUUGUGAGCACUUUAUUGAUUUUGGCACUUUUUUAUUACUCUAGAUUCCUUUUCUUUUCCCCUAGGCAAUUUCUAGUAAACUAGAUCCCACAAAAGUGUUACACUGUAAAUCAGAAAUUGUAAGGAUGAAUUCUGAAUUGGAUUGGCUUGUAGCUUCCUUUCACCAUAGAUCUAACAAGUCCCUUUGCAUCCUUGGUUAGGAUGUCUGUGCCCUUAUUUAGUUUUCCAUGAUAUCAUUGAGGAUGUUUGUGUUUUUGAGUGACGUAUGUAGCUCUGGGGUUGUCCUUAUUUGUCUUCAAAUAGAUCAAAAUACUGACAGUAAGAGCACAUUUUUUAAAGUGAAGCAUGGAAGCUGCAAAAGCUAUUUCUGCAAAAUCAAAUGUGAAAAUGUAGUCUAUAAUUUCUUCUGUUGAUUUCUGUUUUUCUAGUGGUAAGUUCUUAAUGGCAUGACAAGAUUUUAAAUUGGCCUACCUUACCUUCUUAUCAUCUGGUUAUUAUUUUAAUGGAAAGUUAAAGAAAAUAACUUUUUUUUAAGGUGUGGUAUACAACAUGUAAAGAAUACACAGGAAGAGCCAAUAAUUACACGUUAUGAUAUAUUUGAAUAGAAAAGAAUAUUAUCUCUCAGAUGGCUCUUAAUCUAUGGUUACAAGAAAUGAAGGUAAGCUGUACUUCUGAUUAUUGUUUUCUGCAGCCAGUAUUGGAGGUUUCAGUAUUUUUAGAUCCAACUGCCUGAAUGCAUUUUACCAUGGUGUAUUUUUAUUAAGUUUUGUUACCAGUGAAAGCUUUUUGAAAGAAGUCCCCAGUAGCUUGCAGAGGAUUCACGUCUGUAGGGAGGCUGAACACAUGGGAUCUUAAUCCUAGUUAGCAGUGUAUUCUUUAUUACAACAAGUAAAAGCUUAUGAAUUUCUUCUUCAGCUCUGAAAGCAGAAGCUGAUGCUCGUUUGUAUCAGAGAAUUUUAGCUAAUGCCUAUUUCAGUGCUCAUCUGCUAAUUUGCUUCCCCAUAACUAGAAUCAGUAUUCUAAGUAAAAUGUAUGUGAAGUUUUUGAGGCUCAUCCUAAAAUUUCAGGUAUUUGAAGACUUGCCUGUAUCUCAUUAUUGUUGAAAUAAUAAUAAUAAGAAGAAAAAUAUAUUUGACUAUGUUUAUUUUUCUGAACUCACUGAAUGUAAUGAAAAGAUCAUUGCAUAAGAUGAACAUAUCUUUGAUUUUUGAUAAAUCUGGAGUGUUAUCAUUUAGCACUGACAAUUUGUGAAAUAAUUAAAUAGGCUAUGUGACUUUAAUGCUGUACUUUUGAAUAGGUAUCUACAUAUUUCAAAACUGAAUAAGAAAUAUUGUUGAAAAUCACAGACAUGCUUAAUAUAUAGGUAUGCUAUUUGUAAGCUAUAGGGACUUCUAUACUGAGACUUAUGCUGGUUAAUUUAUCCCAGGUAAUCUGUCUGUGCAAUCUAUCCCACUGCAUUUGAUGCCAGACUUUAUGGGUGAUGUUUGGAGAAAGAAAUUUCCUUGCUGUACAGCAAACAUCAGAAAGCUUUCAAAAUUCUAGGAGAGAAUGACAAACAAAGGAAGUUCAUAUCACAGGACUGAUUGCUGAAUUUCCUAAAUUGUAAAUAAUUAUGAGUUGGGAUACUGUUAUUUACAAAUAAACUUUGCUCUUAUCAGUUAGUAUCAACAGUCAUUGUCCAUCAUUUUUGUAUUUCCUGUGCAUCUACUCAAAUUUUCUGUAAUGCUUUAAAUUGUCUAUAUUUUGUGUCAUGUUAGUGUUGGAAUUAUGUUAAGCAAUAGGGUUACCAAGUUAAUGCAAACGUGAUCAUUGUUUUUUAUAGAAAUAUAGGAAAUUGGACAUUUUUAAUGGGUGGACUUAUUCCUGCUUAGCAUUUAAGGACAACUAACAUCUAAAAACUCCUUCAGUGUAUUGAUGGAAGCACAAGUUUAAGGUCGGCAUUGAUAUUGAAAUGAGGAGGAGAGUGCCCCAUCAUUUGCAUGUUUGUCUCCCUGCAGCGCCCCAGUUUGUUCCCUGUCCAGGAGCACCAAAGUCCUUUUCUUCACCCUGGCACAGGGUUAGGUGGGAAGACGGAGAUCUGAUUCUUGCAGCUCUGUAACUCUUGUCCAUUCCUUUUCUGCAAAGCUUCAUUUCUACCACUAUUGCUCCUGCUGUUCACUGACGCCAGGCUGGCAGCUGUGCGAGCUUCCAGGCUGCUAGCUGGGCACCUCGGCACACGGCAUGAUGCAGAACCUUGUUUUUGCUUCUCAGUGGAGAAAACAACCACCUGCCAUAAACUCACAUAAUAUACUCACUACAGAGUUGAUGUGUCUGUUAUCUGACUACUGUAGCAGCUAAACUUUAAACUUUUAAUGUUACCAAUAUACAACCUGAGUUAAUGGGAUAAGGAACACAUUUUGAAUCAGAUCGUCAUAAACAGAGGAAAAGGAAUACUUUUUUCUCAGACCCUCGUAAAAAUUUCAGCCUCCUGCUUUUUCUGCUGUAAGCAGUAUUCUUCAAAUCAAAAGCAGAUAUUCUAAAACCAAGACUGAAGUUAAUUUUACCAACCAUACGUCUUAGUUACACUGUUUGAACAUUAUUUGUCUAUGUGAAGCUGUGCCCUAAAGUUUUCAAGCUCAGGAAGACCUAAAGUGACUUGCUUUAUACAGCCAUUCAGUAUUGCCCUACAUACCAAUAAUCCUUUAGUGUAAUAAAAUGUAUGUCUUUGCUUUUUUACUAGAAGUUAUAGAGAAGUCUUCUGAUCAUCCAGCUAUGAAAAGCACCAUGACUGGUUCUGCCCAGAAGCUGCAUGAAUACAUGUGGAGCAGAAAAGUUGCUCUUUAUAGCCAGCUGUAAAAUUCUUUCAAACCCUAUGAAUGUUCAGCCUGAGAAGACUUCAUACUGCCAUUUUCUGAGAUACAGCUUCGCUUCAGCAUGCCAGCCUUCAGGAGUAUGUAUGAGUCAAGACUGCGCUCCAAGCCCACACUUUAUCUGUGCCACACAAAGUCAGACCGUCCAUUUCAAGGAGAAAAGUGUUUGGUUCCAGUAAGCUACCACAGAACGCUCUCCAGAUUUGACAAACGUUGCAGUUAGUUGCUUUUUUGUUUAGUACACAGUGCAAAUGCUGUAAAAUGUUUUUCGCAUGAUGCAGCGUUGCCAGCAGAUAAUCAGUGGAGCAUUAGACCAAAAGAAUUUGUGUAUAUCCUACAAGCUGCAGGAGGAUAAGAAAAAGUAAACAAAAACUAAUAGCUGAUUUUUUCGGAUGAUACCAUUCCUUCCCUUUUUUUAAACUGAUACAUUUUUAAAAUGCUACUUUUAGUCAAUUUCUGUAAAAACUGAUUAGAAAACCAUAAACCAAUGUGAAAAUGGUUUUGUUUCUGUCCUAGUUUUGACCGUGUGAAUUUUUUAGAACAUUUUCAGUUUAAUUAUGCAGCACUAAAAAUUGCAGUUAAACUGAAUUUGCAGUGGAAACGGCUCAUUUUAGUUGACUGUCAAAUUUACUGUGGCACUGUGACAUAGGCACCUUUAUUAUUAUGAGAUGUUUUGAAAAAAAUGACUUUUUAAACAGGGAAAAGAUGUCAGUUCUCUCAGUCCCUAUCACAGUGAACCAACAAUUUAAAGACAUAGCUGACCAGUGAAGCCAGUAACUCUUUAAACACAAUGGAAUCUUUUCCAGGUGGUGUCUUAAAUUAUUUGUAUACUGAAAGUAUUGGCAGUAUUGAAUUAAGUCUUUUUUUGCAUCUUUAAUUGUUUUGUGAAAUGCAUCUUUCAGAUGUAGAUAGCAUGCUAAUAUUGCUUUAAAAUAAUCUUGUGCUAACCUACUUGUCUUAGGGGCAUCUGACAUGAAAUGUUUUGCAGGAUGCUAUGACGCAAUUUGAUGGAUAUUGUGUAUUAUAUAAGACUGUACAGAUCUUAAUAUCUCUGUUUCUCUGUUUUAGCAUGUGAUGUACAGCUCUGUGUACAUACAGCAUCUCAGACUAGCAUCUGAGACUACCCUUUUCCUCUAAGCCCUAGGCAUUUUUAUCACUGUGCCAAUAAAACGAAAGGGAUUUAUGGGGUACUGCUUUUUAAUUCAUUCAAUUCUCUGUUCAUUGUGAGGUUAAUGUUGUUGAUCUAUUUUUCUCUUGAAACAAAUAAAAACAAUAUGUGCUGA